GGCGGCGUGCCUAAUACAUGCGAGUCGAGCGAGAAAUUCUUUAAUGAAUCUUCGGAGGAUUUAGUGGAUGGACAGCGGCGGACGGGUGAGUAACGCGUAGGCAACCUGCCUCACACAGAGGGAUAGCCAUUGGAAACGAUGAAUAAUACCUCAUGAAACCGGAACAACACAUGUUGAUCCGGUCAAAGAUUUAUCGGUGUGAGAUGGGCCUGCGUCUGAUUAACUAGUUGGUGAGGUAACGGCUCACCAAGGUGACGAUCAGUAGCCGACCUGAGAGGGUGAUCGGCCACAUUGGAACUGAGACACGGUCCAAACUUCUACGGAAGGCAGCAGUAGGGAAUCUUGCACAAUGGGCGAAAGCCUGAUGCAGCAACGCCGCGUGAAGGAUGAAGGCCUUCGGGUUGUAAACUUCUGUUCCCGGGGACGAAGAAAGUGACGGUACCCGGGCAGCAAGCCCCGGCUAACUACGUGCCAGCAGCCGCGGUAAUACGUAGGGGGCAAGCGUUAUCCGGAAUUAUUGGGCGUAAAGAGUGCGUAGGUGGUUAUGUAAGCGUGAGGUUUAAGGCAGUGGCUUAACCACUGUUCGCCUUGCGAACUGCAUAACUUGAGUGCAGGAGGGGAAAGCGGAAUUCCUAGUGUAGCGGUGAAAUGCGUAGAUAUUAGGAGGAACACCAGCGGCGAAGGCGGCUUUCUGGACUGCAACUGACACUGAGGCACGAAAGCGUGGGGAGCAAACAGGAUUAGAUACCCUGGUAGUCCACGCCGUAAACGAUGAGCACUAGUUGUUGGGUCCGAACGGAUUCAGUGACGCAGUUAACGCAAUAAGUGCUCCGCCUGGGGAGUACGCUCGCAAGAGUAAAACUCAAAGGAAUUGACGGGGACCCGCACAAGCAGCGGAGCAUGUGGUUUAAUUCGAAGCAACGCGAAAAACCUUACCAGGACUUGACAUCCUGCUGACAGGCCCUUAACCGGGCCCUUCUUCGGACAGCAGAGACAGGUGGUGCAUGGUUGUCGUCAGCUCGUGUCGUGAGAUGUUGGGUUAAGUCCCGCAACGAGCGCAACCCUUGUUGUCAGUUACUAACAUUAAGUUGAGGACUCUGGCGAGACUGCCGAGGUUAACUCGGAGGAAGGUGGGGAUG
rnacentral:rRNA from 1 species